ACGCCAUUGAAGUUCAGCAUGGAAUAGUAAAAGGGUUGGCAAAAUGCUCAUCAAAGUCCAGUACCGUGGACUAAAAAAAGUACCUCAAACUGCAUCCUGGUUUUUCUUAUGAAAGUUUCAUUGAAGAAGAAUUUGUGCCAGCAGGUUCUUCUACUCUAAUUUCUUCAAGUGAUAUGGAGAGGUCCUCUUCAAACAAGGGACAUCAAUCUCCUGGUGCAGGAGAGAACACCUCUGCCAUAGGGGAUGCAGCAGAAAAGGCCAAAUGGAUGGUCCAGGAGGUUCUGGAGAAGAGUUCAGGGGGAGAGGAAACAAUGGAGGG